UCCGGCGUAGUAAAAUGGUAUUACAUCUGCUUGCCAAGCAGAAAGCGCGAGUUCGAUUCUCGUCGCCGGGAC
rnacentral:tRNA from 4 species